GUUGAAGAACGCAGCAAAAUGCGAUAAGUAAUGUGAAUUGCAGAAUUCAGUGAAUCAUCGAAUCUUUGAACGCACAUUGCGCCCGCUGGUAUUCCGGCGGGCAUGCCUGUUCGAGCGUCAUUUCAACCCUCAGGCCCCCGGGUUUGGUGUUGGGGAUCGGCUCUGCCCUUCUGGGCGGUGCCGCCCCCGAAAUACAUUGGCGGUCUCGCUGCAGCCUCCAUUGCGUAGUAGCUAACACCUCGCAACUGGAACGCGGCGCGGCCAUGCCGUAAAACCCCAACUUCUGAAUGUUGACCUCGGAUCAGGUAGGAAUACCCGCUGAACUUAAGCAUAUCAAUAAGCGGAGGA
rnacentral:misc_RNA from 1 species